NANUGAGUGAUCGAANGAUGAAAAGAACUUUGAAAAGAGAGUUAAAUAGUNCGUGAAAUUGCUGAAAGGGAAGCAUUGGAAAUCAGUCUUACCUGGGUGAGAUCAGUAGUCUCUUCGCGAGACUAUGCNCUCUGAACCUGUGGUAGGUCAGCAUCAGUUUUCGGGGGCGGAAAAAGAAUAAGGGAAGGUGGCUUUCCGGGUUCUGCCUGGGGAGNGUUUAUAGCCCNNGUUGUAAUACGUCNNCUGGGGACUGAGGACUGCGGCUUCGUGCCAAGGAUGCUGACA
rnacentral:rRNA from 1 species